CCUGCCCCUGGAUGCACUGCAGAAGUGCUGCUGUGUCACAUAUGCAACAGUAGGUGGCAGAACAGAGAAAGGCUAUGUUUACACUAAUAUUUUUUUUUUUUUUGACCUAUAAACAUCUGAAUGAUUAAAAGCCUAAUAUU
ensembl:snoRNA Gm25653 predicted gene, 25653